CUAAAACAAAUCUCAUGGAUAUGAUCGGGAGGCUGGCUCCCUGUUAACCCGCACAUAUGUAGAACAAUGUAGUUAUUAUGUCGAGCUCCCUGUUAUAUGAAGGAACAUCACCUGGGCUUAUUAACUGAGAUCUAGAAGAGCAGCAGGGACCAGAGUGACGAUCUGUCAGCUAUUAUUAUAGGCAUCUACAGUUUUGGAGGGAAAUGCACUAUGUUCACGCGGGAAACGAGCGAGACCGCCCCUUUUAGCGCGCACAACCUGGAUUCGUCAGAAAAUCUGUGGGCGGGACUUACUUUACUACGUUUAACUUGGACAACCAGAAGGAGACUUAUCUGUAUGCAGAGCCAAUAAAAUUGUUCUGAUUCUGAUUCUGAGUCAGUCACGAUGCAUCCAAUCAUGAAUUUCAUGAGGAGGUGGCGCCUGUUUGACACAGUCCCUUCAGGUUUGACAACAGAGGGGCUGCAGGUGGUGACGGUGGGUCAGACUGCAGUCUCACAUCAGACCCAUGAAACAUACCACACUUUUACAGUUAUUAUUCCAGCAGCGAUGGCACCAGCAGGUAUCAGCUGUUGAAAAUGACAGUGAUCUUUCCUUGGAGGUCGGUCAACAGACCAGCUCUGGUAAAAAGACCAAGACCCGGGCCACCACCAGAAGAAGCACGAUGAAGAAGUAAAAGUUCUGUACUCCACUACAAGUAAAAGCUUCUAGCUGUUAUCCUGUUUGCAGGGUUUGUGCUAAGCUUACCAAUUAUGUCACAUAAUCUUUAUUACUAUAUUUAACCAACCAAACCAAAGCAUGCAAAUAAAGUCUCCUGUUCGUCA